rnacentral:lncRNA from 10 species
CUUUAAUGUGGGUGGGCACUAUCCAGCCUGCUGGGGGUCUGGAGAAAAAAAACAAACCUGUCUAUCUGUUAGAACUGAGAUGCACUCUUUUUCUGCUGUCCUUGGACAGCAACUCCAGACUCCAUGGCCUUUUUAUUCUUUUUUUUUUUUUUUCUUGAGACAGAGUCUCGCCCUGUCGCCCAGACUGGAGUGCAAUGGCGUAAUCUCGGCUCACUGCAAUCUCCAUCUCCCUGAUUUAAAUGAUUGUCCUGGCUCAGCCUCCUGAGUAGUUGGGAUUACAGGCACCUGCCACCAUGCCUAGCUAAUUUUUAUAUUUUUAGUAGAAACGGGGCUUCACCAUGUUGGCCAGGCUGGCCUUGAACCCCUGACCUCGUGAUCUGCCCACCUCGGCCUCCCAAAGUGCUGGGAUUCCAGGAGUGAAUCAUCAUGCCCGGCCUUGCCUUUAUAUUCCAAGACUUACACAAGUACCAAGUCUCUCCUGGAUGUUCACACCUUUGGCUUUGGACUGAGAGUUACAUCUUCAACUUCUUUCGUUCUGAGGACUUUGGACUUGGACUGAGCUACACUACCAGCAUCUCAUCCUCCACCUUGCAGGAAAUCUGUUGCAGGUCUUCUCAACCACCAUAAUCAGGAUGAUCAAAGGGAUUAUGAAGAAA